GACGAACCGUGCAAACGUUGUUCGGAAUCAUUGGGCGUAAAGGGUGCGUAGGUGGCGCUGUAAGUCGGGUGUGAAAUUUCGGAGCUUAACUCCGAAACUGCAUUCGAUACUGCGGUGCUUGAGGACUGGAGAGGAGACUGGAAUUCAUGGUGUAGCAGUGAAAUGCGUAGAGAUCAUGAGGAAGACCAGUGGCGAAGGCGGGUCUCUGGACAGUUCCUGACACUGAGGCACGAAGGCCAGGGGAGCAAACGGG
rnacentral:rRNA from 1 species